AGAGAAGGAAGGGAGUUCCACAGAAAAGGUGCAGCCCUGGAGAGGUCUUGGAGGUGAGCAUUAGAUGUGGGAGUACGGACAGAGGAUAGGUGUAGGUCUUCGGCAGAGCGCAGGGUCCUUGACGGGACUUACUUGAGUAUUGGGGAGGGUAGGAAGGUUGGAGCAGCAUUAUGUAGGGACUUGUAAACAAGCACCAGAAUCUUAAAUUGAGCUCUAUAUCUAACUGGAAGCCAAUGUA
rnacentral:lncRNA from 1 species